GAUGAACGCUGGCGGCGUGCCUAAUACAUGCAAGUCGAGCGAACGGACGAGAAGCUUGCUUCUCUGAUGUUAGCGGCGGACGGGUAAGUAACACGUGGAUAACCUACCUAUAAGACUGGGAUAACUUCGGGAAACCGGAGCUAAUACCGGAUAAUAUUUUGAACCGCAUGGUUCAAAAGUGAAAGACGGUCUUGCUGUCACUUAUAGAUGGAUCCGCGCUGCAUUAGCUAGUUGGUAAGGUAACGGCUUACCAAGGCAACGAUGCAUAGCCGACCUGAGAGGGUGAUCGGCCACACUGGAACUGAGACACGGUCCAGACUCCUACGGGAGGCAGCAGUAGGGAAUCUUCCGCAAUGGGCGAAAGCCUGACGGAGCAACGCCGCGUGAGUGAUGAAGGUCUUCGGAUCGUAAAACUCUGUUAUUAGGGAAGAACAGAUGUGUAAGUAACUGUGCACAUCUUGACGGUACCUAAUCAGAAAGCCACGGCUAACUACGUG
rnacentral:rRNA from 1 species